rnacentral:rRNA from 1 species
AUUGAACGCUGGCGGCAGGCCUAACACAUGCAAGUCGAGCGGCAGCGGAAGGAGGCUUGCUUCCUUGCCGGCGAGCGGCGGACGGGUGAGUAAGGUAUGGGGAUCUGGCCGAAGGCGGGGGAUAACCACUGGAAACGGUGGCUAAUACCGCAUAAUCUCUAAGGAGCAAAGUGGGGGACCGUUCAGGCCUCACACCGUCGGAUGAACCCAUAUGAGAUUAGCUAGUAGGUGGGGUAAUGGCUCACCUAGGCGACGAUCUCUAGCUGGUCUGAGAGGAUGAUCAGCCACACUGGGACUGAGACACGGCCCAGACUCCUACGGGAGGCAGCAGUGGGGAAUAUUGCACAAUGGGCGCAAGCCUGAUGCAGCCAUGCCGCGUGUAUGAAGAAGGCCUUCGGGUUGUAAAGUACUUUCAGUCGUGAGGAAGGUGUUAAGGUUAAUAACCUUAGCAAUUGACGUUAGCGACAGAAGAAGCAUCGGCUAACUCCGUGCCAGCCGCCGCCGUAA